UUGUGGUUUUCUUCAUCCAGAUGAAAAUUCUCAGGUUGGUUUUAGCAGCUCCUGCUGUCCAGCAUGAGAUCUUCCUGACCAGUAGAAGUGAAUUGCUGAUGGAAGUCGCCAAAUGGCAGUUUCCAUAUCAGCACGAAUGCGGAAUGUUGGGAGAUGGCUGGUGUGAAUAUGACCUGGAAUUUCAACUUCGAACUGGGGAGUGGAAGUCAGUUAAAUUGUUGCCUUACUCAUCCACUUUGGAAGAAAGUGUCCACAAAGACGACAUCAUCAUUACCAGGGGAAGGCUGGAGCUGCAGUCAGGCCAACUGACCCAGAAGAUGUCGGAGGCAGCACAGAACCUGCUGAGUGCCAAGACAGGCUUUUUAAAAAGAUCAAACUCAAUGUGGUGGGGCUUCAGUCCAGUUAUAAUUUUAAAAAGUACAAUCCCUCAACUCAGGCACAUUCCCAAUGAGCCAGUAACGACAAUUCAUGCCUCGUGUCAGGCUAUGCCUCUCCACCAAUGUUCCUACACUACAUUAUGGCACUUCAUCUCCUUGCCCCACUGUACUCUGCAUGAAAUUAACAAGGCCCAUAAUGACUGCAGUAGUUUUUCUUUUUAAAAAGGUCAUUCAUAACUGCAGAGUGCUGAAAACAUCCCUGUAUUGCCCUGAAAUACAGAUGAUUUGCCAUGAACCAGGGUUCUUUAAAAACGUAGCCCAACUCCAUGAAAACCAUGGAAAAGUAGACCAUGCCUACAUCAACAAUUGAACUGGCUAGGGCAGCAGCACUAGGUGUGAGCUCACAACACAAACUAACUCACAUCCUGAAAAGGCACUCCUGACAGUUGGAGAGUCCAGGAAUGGGGUCUGCAAUCCCAGAAUCAGGGCUCACCCACUAAUUUAAAAGGAGUCCUGAGUUAUUCUGAGUUGGGAAAAAUGCAGUAUUACAGAGUUUGGACAUUAUACCUGCAAAACCAUUCAUUGACCAGUGUUUGAAUGCAGAGUUAAUUCAGUUCCUUCUGUGAAUUUCAGCUAACUCAAGAGCAAGCAAAUUACAUACUAUAAUCAAUAAUAACAUGCAAUGUUGAUAUCCCUUCAGAAUAUGAAGUGGGCUGUGCAUGCUUCACAUUUAAUUUGCUCUGACACCUGAAGACAUGAUAUACUCAGCCAUCUAAUUAAUUCCCUUUCAACUCUUGGAAUAUCUCAGUUAUAUGAAGGACUUGUUUCACAACUCAGAAAGAAUGGAAUUUCAGGACACAAUACAAAGAAAAACUUCCAUUGUUUCAUUUAUCCUUCCUUACUUAAAUGGCAAACGUAAGUUAACUGAAGUAAUCUAGUUUCAAAGUCGUCUUUGGGCUUGAAACAUUAACACUUUCUCUCUUCUGUUGCAAGACCUGCUGAGCUGCCUCCAACAUUUUUUCUGUUUUUAUUUCAGAUUUCCAGCAUCUGCAGUAAUUUGCCUUUAUCAGAAUGUUUAAUUCACUGCCACUUCUCUACCAGUUAAGUCCACAAUAAAGUACUGCAUUUCUCCACUGGGAGUUCCAUUUUAUUCUUUUGGCCUGUAACCCUUCAUUGCUUUCUAUCUCCCAUCUAGUUUUUGAAAAAAAAUGUCUGCCAAAACUCAUUUUUGCAAUCACAUCUCCAUCCUCAGUGACUGUGUUCAGUUCUGCCUUACUCCACACAGAUUCCUACUGAAGUUUCAUCCUACACAUUGUGAAUCCAUCUAGGAAUACUGGUACCUCUCAGACAUAAUGCUCAGAGACCUCUCUGCCCAUCAGCACUGCAUCAUGCUAUCUCAAAGCUGUCCUGGUCACCAGUGCUGUUUCAUUCUUCACCUCAUUCAAUACCUGAACAUUUUCUCUACCUUUCACAUUUUAAGGAACACAAUCUCCAAAAGCACCAGUAUAGUCACCUUUCUGGAUUCUUCCUCCACUUCUUUCAUUCCAUCCUUUUCUUUCUACUAAUCCCAUCUCUUGUCAUGUAUUCACUCAGUUCUGAAGAAGAGACUUUACCUCCACUGAUACUGCUGGACCUGCUGUGUUUCUCUAGUAUUUUCUGUUUGUAUUGUAAGUUAACUGAAAGUUUGUUCACAAGAAAAUAGGUGGACUACAAGUGGAGGAGGCGAGGAAUACAACAGUUAUUGUUUAUGGAAUGCUAUAUUUGGACAUAGUUUGGUCCCAAUUUACACUGCCCUGAAUCCACAAAGUUCAGACUUAUGUCUGUUUUAGCACAAACACUGAUUUAGAUAUAAGCCAAGGGGUAGCUCAGUGGCCUAGUGGAUUAUAGUACCAUAUGGUGAACCAUGCGGAAUAAAAAGGUUCCAGCUACUGAAUUAACCAAACUCAGGCAAGGUAAUGACAAAAUAUACAAAAAACGCCCCAUUGUCACAGGAUAGAGAUGGGAAUAGGGUCGGAAAAAAAGUCAAGAUUCAUUCAUAAUUAAUUAGACACAUGCAUGCAAGGUUAUAAAGUGUGAAGCUGGAUGAACACAGCAGGCCAAGCAGCAUCUCAGGAGCACAAAAGCUCAGUUUCGGGCCUAGACCCUUCAGGAUUAUUAUACAAAACCUUAUGCAGAAAAAGCUCACGCGUUUUGUCUGUAAUCUUUUUCAACAAUUCCUGAAGAGUUUAAAUACAACUGAAUUAUGGCAUUCAGAAGCCAAAAUCUUUGCCUAUCAGUGAAGAGGUUGUAACUUAUUCCACACUAUUUAAAGUUGGUUAAAAAAAUACCAAAGGAAGUAAAUUCUAUCAGUCAUUUUAUUGUUGCUGUGGAUGUUAGCGUGAAAUCCAAGUAUAAAACACACAUGGAAUUCUCAGGAAGCACUUCAGCCAUCAACUGAGGUAGCACAAUUUACUUUUAUCAAAAAAGUUGCUGCAAAUAUUAAGAACAAAAACAGAACUUACAGGAAAAGCACAACAGGUCUGGCAGCAUUUAUGGAAAGUAAGUAGAGUUAACAUUUCAGGUCCAGUGAGCCUUCCUCAGAAUAGUCUUCUGAGCUUUUACAGCAAUUUUUGUUUCUAAUUUACUGCAUCUGCAGAUCUUCUGGUUUUUACUGCCACAAAUAUUGUUACUCCUCCUCCAUUGACUUUUCAAGAGUAAGCAGCUUAGAACAAUGUGCUAUGCUGAUAAUUCUUUUCGAUCUCCUCCUUCACAAUAAGCCAUACAAUCAUGCAACAUUGGCAAGGAUGUCAAAGAUCACCAAAAGUUUGCAUCUGGGGGACAGGAAAAUUAAACAUCGCCAAAUGCAAAGUAAAGGCACCUGUGCUAUCUAAAUCAUGUAGUGGAACAAAGCAGAAUAAUUUUCAAGCAAGCACUUCUCAGAAAAUAUAGAACCUCAAAUUUUGCCAAAACUUUUGUGAGCCAGCAUCCAAAAAUAAUAAAAACCUCUCAGAUUUGG